rnacentral:rRNA from 1 species
AUUGAACGCUGGCGGCAGGCCUAACACAUGCAAGUCGAGCGGAUGAAGGGAGCUUGCUCCUGGAUUCAGCGGCGGACGGGUGAGUAAUGCCUAGGAAUCUGCCUGGUAGUGGGGGAUAACGUCCGGAAACGGGCGCUAAUACCGCAUACGUCCUGAGGGAGAAAGUGGGGGAUCUUCGGACCUCACGCUAUCAGAUGAGCCUAGGUCGGAUUAGCUAGUUGGUGGGGUAAAGGCCUACCAAGGCGACGAUCCGUAACUGGUCUGAGAGGAUGAUCAGUCACACUGGAACUGAGACACAGUCCAGACUCCUACGGGAGGCAGCAGUGGGGAAUAUUGGACAAUGGGCGAAAGCCUGAUCCAGCCAUGCCGCGUGUGUGAAGAAGGUCUUCGGAUUGUAAAGCACUUUAAGUUGGGAGGAAGAGCAGUAAGUUAAUACCUUGCUGUUUUGACGUUACCAACAGAAUAAGCACCGGCUAACUUCGUG